rnacentral:lncRNA from 1 species
AAUGAGUUUUUUUAUAAUUAAGCUCGCAUUUAUAUUUUUAUUUUGCUAAAAAUUAAAUAAUAAAAAUAUAUAUUAUAUAUAAUUAUUUAUUUAUAUAUAAAAAUAUAAAUUAAAUAAAUUAUAUAAAUAUAAAAUAUAUGUAUUCGAGUUGUUAUCGAGACGAACACGAGCGAGCUGACCCCAGCUCGUGUUCGACUCGUUUAUUAAAUGAGCCGAAAAAUUCAGCUCGUGUUCGGCUCAUUUACUAAACGAGCGAUUCGAUCUCGAGCUCAUUUCGAGCCGAACACGAACUGACUUGCGAACGGCGAGCUGGAUUGCCACCCCUAAUAGUUGAGGGGUUCUCUACAUUUUACCCACCUAAAAUGGACGCGGUUCACCACAAUUUUGCCGGGCCCCACUUCCUUGACCACUCGGUUACGCGGAAUUACAUUAUGCGCACCCGGUGUACCAUGCACUUCAUUUUUAAAAUUUUAUUAAAAAAAUCACAUAUUACAAAUUAAUUUAUUAUUAAAUUAAUUAGUGAAUUUUUUCUUACAUGUAUUUAAGAAAAUUUAAAAGAUUUAUCUAUAAAAAUUUCUUCAUUAGUUGCUAGCAAAUUAGACUUGAUCUAAGGUAUUUGAAGUGUCUAGAAAAUAACUUUUGCGAUUUUUUGAUAUCAUUUACCUAGUGAUCGAAAGGAUUCAAAAAUCAAUAAUUUUUAAUGGUUGAUAUCUGCCGUUUUCAAGUUUAACGGUAUAGAAGUACUCAAAUCAGAUGAAAUUUUGAUACAAAAUUCUUUAUACUAUCUACAACAAGAUCAAUAUUUCUAAUCGAAAAUUUUAGUACUAUAUCACCACUUUUUAUAGGAUUUUUAUUUUCAGCCGUUAAAGAUUAUUGAUUUUGAAUCCUUUCGAUUGCUAGGUAAAUGAUAUCGAAAAAUCGCAAAAAUUAUUUUUUAGAAACUUCAAAUACGCUAGAUCAAGUCUAAUGGAGCCGAUCGUCGAUUUGGAAAUUCCAUCAUCGAAAACGGCUCAGGAGCACG